CAACUUAUAUCACAUAUAUACGCAGUAAUUAUUUAAGAAUUGGGGGAGUUUCCAUAUCCCAUAGUAUACAAACAAUACGAGUCCACGACUAAAUGCCAACUAGUUUAGUAAAAAGAAAAACGAGCUUACAGUUGUGAGCAUGUAGAAGUGUAGAGACCUUUACAAUUUUUCAUUGUACUAAAUCUUCUUCUUCUUUUGUCACAAGUGAAGGAGGUAUACCUGUGAUCUCGUUUUUUAGUGCGAUGUUUUUUGGGGAAGGUCUUGCUUUCUGGCUGUGUCAUCAGCCAUGACCAAUUUCCCUCACUGUUAGUGUUGUUGGCUGCUCAACAUUGUGUGUUACACAACACUGAGUAAUGAGAUUUCUUAAU
rnacentral:lncRNA from 1 species